CGGCUCUUCACAUGGCCAGGACGAGCCCUGUGAGGAACAAGCACCUCAAUUUCUGUUUGCACAACUAAUACCUAUCACUCCCUAAGAAGAGGUGGAAUGCCAGUAACCAUAUCAGCUUUCAGAGAAGAGAUGCAGCUGUCAGCAAAAGGAAGAUUUGGGCAAGGAGGAGGAAAUGGAGCUCUUCAUUCCCACCCCAUCACCUGAUACUUCAGGAGCAAAGCUGGAUUCAUCUGCUUUUUCUCUCUGAUGUCCAAGAUUUUUCUUGGAUUUUAGGCUAUCCUUGUAAAUUAGUCCAUAAAACAACCCUUCAGCAUACCUGCUUGUGGUGAAUUAAUACUAAAAACCCAAACCAA